GUUUCAAUAUUACUUUCAUUUAAUGUUGUUUAAAUUAAUAAUUGUUGAUUUAGAUUCGGGGAAGCCAGCAAAAGACAAACUAACUUCUAAACAGCGUCGACGAAAGGAAAGAGAAGACAAAGUAAAGAAGAUUGGGGUUCAUUAUUAUGAGACCACUAAUGUUAAGAAUAGGAAUAGAAACAAAAUGAAUAAAAAAGAUAAAUAACAAC